rnacentral:rRNA from 1 species
AACGAACGCUGGCGGCGUGCCUAACACAUGCAAGUCGAACGUGAUUGGAAGCUUGCUUCCAUGAAAGUGGCGCACGGGUGAGUAACGCGUAGAUAAUCUACCUGGUGAUCCGGGAUAACACUUCGAAAGGGGUGCUAAUACCUGAUAAGCCCACGGAGUCCUUGGACUCUGCGGGAAAAGGGGGGGACCUUCGGGCCUUCCGUCAUCAGAUGAGUCUGAGUACCAUUAGCUAGUUGGUAGGGUAAAGGCCUACCAAGGCGACGAGGGUUAGCUGGUCUGAGAGGAGGGUCCGCCACACUGGAACUGAGACGCGGUCCAGACUCCGACGGGAGGCAGCAGUGGGGAAUUUUGCGCAAUGGGGGAAACCCUGACGCAGCAACGGCGCGUGAGUGAUGAAGGCCCUUGGGUCGUAAAGCUCUGACAGAGGGAAAGAAGUGCAGGGUGGCUAAUAUCCACUUUGCUUGACGGUACCCUCAAAGGAAGCACCGGCUAACUCCGUGCCAGCCGCCGCCGUAAGAC